GAUGAACGCUAGCGGGAGGCUUAACACAUGCAAGUCGAGGGGCAGCACGGGGUAGCAAUACUCUGGUGGCGACCGGCAAACGGGUGAGUAACGCGUAUGUAACCUACCCUGUACAGGGGGAUAACCCGGAGAAAUUCGGACUAAUAUCCCAUAACAAUAUCUGGAGGCAUCUUUGGAUAUUUAAAGUUCUGGCGGUACGGGAUGGGCGUGCGUAACAUUAGCUAGUUGGUAAGGUAACGGCCUACCAAGGCUUUGAUGUUUAGGGGUCCUGAGAGGGUGGUCCCCCACACUGGUACUGAGACACGGACCAGACUCCUACGGGAGGCAGCAGUGAGGAAUAUUGGUCAAUGGGCGCAAGCCUGAACCAGCCAUCCCGCGUGCAGGAAGACGGCGCUAUGCGUUGUAAACUGCUUUUCCAGGGGAGAAACUUGCGUACGUGAUACGCAAUUGACGGUACCCUGGGAAUAAGCAUCGGCUAACUCCGUG
rnacentral:rRNA from 1 species